rnacentral:rRNA from 1 species
UACGAAGGGGGCUAGCGUUGCUCGGAAUUACUGGGCGUAAAGGGCGCGUAGGCGGAUAGUUUAGUCAGAGGUAAAAGCCCAGGGCUCAACCUUGGAACUGCCUUUGAUACUGGCUAUCUUGAGUUCGGGAGAGGUGAGUGGAAUGCCGAGUGUAGAGGUGAAAUUCGUAGAUAUUCGGCGGAACACCAGUGGCGAAGGCGGCUCACUGGCCCGGUACUGACGCUGAGGUGCGAAAGCGUGGGGAGCAAACAGG